AUAUCAAUAAGCGGAGGAAAAGAAACUAACAAGGAUUCCCUUAGUAGCGGCGAGCGAAGCGGGAAGAGCUCAAAUUUGAAAGCUGGCGUCCUUCGGGCGUCCGCAUUGUAAUCUAUAGAGGCGUUUUCUGUGCUGGACCGUGUCCAAGUCCCUUGGAACAGGGUAUCAAAGAGGGUGACAAUCCCGUACUUGACACGACAACCAGUGCUCUGUGAUACGUCUUCUACGAGUCGAGUUGUUUGGGAAUGCAGCUCAAAAUGGGUGGUGAAUUCCAUCUAAAGCUAAAUAUUGGCGAGAGACCGAUAGCGAACAAGUACCGUGAGGGAAAGAUGAAAAGCACUUUGGAAAGAGAGUUAAACAGUAU
rnacentral:rRNA from 1 species